GUUCCAAAAUUUGGACCUACGUUCCAAAAAGACUGUGCGGAAGAACACCUUGGGUUUCUUCUCCAGAAUACCCCAGCUACCCAGCUUCCCUUUGCACAUAGUGCAGACAAAAGUUGUGCCGUAGCACAUUUUUAUUAACUUUUCUGCAUGGAAGACUUUAAGGUGAGAAGACUGUCCGACUCAAUCCUUGAACCUACAUGAAAAACAAUAAACUAAGCCGAAGAACACACUGUUUUUUCUCAAGUAGACCA
rnacentral:lncRNA from 1 species